UACGUAGGGAGCAAGCGUUGUUCGGAAUUACUGGGCGUAAAGGGCGCGUAGGCGGCCCGCUAAGUCGAACGUGAAAUCCCCGAGCUCAACUCGGGAACUGCGUCCGAUACUGGCGGGCUUGAAUCCGGGAGAGGGAUGCGGAAUUCCAGGUGUAGCGGUGAAAUGCGUAGAUAUCGGGAGGAACACCGGUGGCGAAGGCGGCGAUCUGGGUAGAUACUGACGCUGAGGUGCGAAAGCGUGGGGAGCAAACAGG
rnacentral:rRNA from 1 species